GUCAGGACGAACGCUGGCGGCGUGCUUAACACAUGCAAGUCGAACGAGGAUAUACCAGAGGAGAGCUUCGGCAGGAAUCGGGAAUAUUCGAGUGGCGGACGGGUGAGUAACGCGUGAGCAACCUGUCCCAGACAGGGGGAUAACACUUGGAAACAGGUGCUAAUACCGCAUAAGACCACGGUAUCACAUGGUAGUGGGGUAAAAGGAGCAAUCCGGUUUGGGGUGGGCUCGCGUCCGAUUAGAUAGUUGGUGAGGUAACGGCCCACCAAGUCGACGAUCGGUAGCCGACCUGAGAGGGUGAUCGGCCACAUUGGAACUGAGAGACGGUCCAAACUCCUACGGGAGGCAGCAGUGGGGAAUAUUGGGCAAUGGGCGAAAGCCUGACCCAAGCAACGCCGCGUGAGUGAAGAAGGCCUUCGGGUUGUAAAGCUCUGUUAUAGUUGACGAAGGAAGUGACGGUAGGCUAUAAGGAAGCCCCGGCUAACUACGUGCCAGCAGCUGC
rnacentral:rRNA from 1 species